UUGCGACCGUGUGAGUGACUGUUGAUUUGGAGUGAAUGCUGCGUGGUUAAGUGUGACUGUUGGUUUGGAGUGAAUGUUGAAUUGUUUUGUAAUUGUUCACCUCUGUUUAAUAAAAGAACCUUUAUUUCAUGUUACUGAAUGUGUUUAUUUUAAUUUUUAUAUUAAAAUAUAUGUAGCAAAACGGGUAAGAUGAACGAACCAUCCCCUUGAUCUUUAAAACUAUACACAUGAGUUAUUAUGAAUAUGAAUCACAAUUUAUGGAAUUUUUAUUAGGUCUUUGCUACUCAAAUUAGCAGAAUGAUCUUUUAUUUUUUUGGGUUGUUUUUUGUAUUUUUUGAGAAAUACACUAAUUCAAGGGAAGUUUUCAAUAUUAUAUUAAUGAUUGCGAAUAUUAAAAGGUUCUGAAAAGCAAGCUUUAAUUGGUUUUAUAUUGUUUAAUAACCCAAAGAUAAUAAUUAAGACUAUUUGAAAAAAGGAAAUGUCUUAUGAAAUUAUUUUUCAUCAGUAAAUACAUUAUUUGUUAAAGUUUUAAGAUUAAGUUUAAAAUAUCAUGUGGGUCAACUUACCCCUUUAUAUUUAAUACAUCUAUGAAAUAGAACUAUAAAAUAUCUAACUAUUAAAUGUUUAAUAUCAAAAACCCUGACAAUUUAAUUUCACUGUGUGUGUAUGUGUACAGCUAUGGCAGGUAUUGCUCCACUAUCACCUUUUUUAAUUUAAUAUGAAAGUCCAUGGUUAUAAUUAUCCGUAAAUAUGCAGAAACAUAACUACAUCUCUGGCGUUUAUAACAAACCAAUCCGUUAUUAUCAGUUGAAAUUUGAGUAGGAUAUGAUCAUGGAAACAGUACAUGCACCAUAGACAUUAAUGUUAUCAGUGGGCCAGCAGCCUCUAGGUAAGAUGGCCGCCGUGUGACGACACCAGUCCCCAUUGGCUUACAGCGUAGGUACGUUAUCUAGUCUUUCUAUUUAUCUAUCGAUACGCUGUUUGAGCCUAGCGUCAUCACAGCGACUCUCGGCGACUGCUACUGCGCAGCGCUGGUGUCAGGAAAUGAAGAAAAACCCCGGAAAUACCGAGAGCUUUUUGGCUUCAACUCAAAUGCUGCGUCCGAAUUGCCCGCUCGGAUACUACAUGCUACUGCUACAUACUACUGCUAGAUCCUACUCCUACAUACUAAACACGUUGGCCCAAUUCGGACACACUAGACGAGCGGUGGGGAAAGACGACCCCCGCAGGCAGAGAGUAGGUACUGCGCCCGUGCAGACAGUGGUGACUGAAGCCCCUCAUCUGAGGGCCUGGCUGUAGUACUGCAGCUGUGCAGUUUAAUGAUGGAAUAAGUGAGCUUUACCUCCAUGAUGUCGCCACAUAUUUGCUCAUAAAAUGAUUACUUGGGCAAAUAUGACACCAUGACAUGACAAAGAGAUACAACCGCACAUUUUUUAGGACAGUGUGUGAAGUUACAUGAAACUUACAUCAGUACUGCUGCGGUCCCGCCUGCUGCUGCUCCGACAUGGUGCGCGCUGCUGUGGCCAGCCGGCGUUCGCGACGCAUCUAUGCUGGUGGCGCUAGCAUCACAUGCGCUUCUACAACUUUUAAGAGGACGAAGAAGAAGCCCGCGGUGCAUUUUGGGUCAGUAGCAUGCCCGUAGGAUGCACCGCGACCAACCUACAAUGUGGGCGUGUCUAGUAUCUGAAGUAGUAUCUGAAGUAGCAUGCUACUCGCUCCGGUGGCCAAUUCGGACAUGCUAGAUACUACUUCGACUACUACUUGGCAAUUCGGACGCAGCUAUAGACUGUAUAUAAGAUGGACGCCGUCUGUCUCCUCGCCGGGUGAAGCCACUCCGAGAACAGCACCCCCUAGAGCCUGGCUGCAGUACAAGUCAUAAACCCCACUUCUGCCAGCAAAGUGAAUGGAGUGGCGGACGGCCUUUAGAAAUUGAUUUCACAGAAAAUACACUUUUCUCACCCCCGACUGCGAUGUUGACAUGUAGUUAUUAUUAGACUGGUUUGUGUUCAGGUCUUUUUUUCUCUCUGCAGCUCCAUUUUAAAAAGUUAUUAGGAGUUAUGAAAACAGGAAAUUGCGUCAUUCUCUACACUUUGCACUUGCUGCUUGUGCGUCGCUCUUUUUCGUUCAUCGUCAAGACCGAUCGGGUUUGCUAGCGGAGAAGAGGAUUACAUUUUUCCAUCGUUUUUCUCUUUUAUGCAUUGGAAAAAUGAGUUGUUCUGCAGUAAACUGUGUUAACCGACAUGUGAAAUCGGGAUCUUUGCAGUUGUUUCGGUAAGUUAUGUUUUUUUUUAUGAAGUCAUCAGCUUGCUAGCUACAUAACAUUUACCGGUCUGGUUUAAUUUAGCUAAUGGGGUUUACUUACAGAUACCAAGCGGUAAGUUCUGUGCCUUAUUUAAGCGUUUUUAUGAGAAGUUAAACAAUGAGGAAACCCCUUAAAAUCCGCCUUCUUUUAAUAACAAUAUUAUGACCACGUGACUUUGAAUUUGAAUUAAAAACCGUACCGAUCACACAGAUUCAUACUAGCAACCAAAUACUACCACAGAGUAUCAGGGCAUGAAAUGAAAACUCGAGGCAUGAAGUCAUAAUGUUAAAGGAAUUAAUUCGCAUUUAAGUCAUUCCCCUAAUAUUGCAUCACUUUAUGAGAACAAGGCCAUGUAAAUGAAUAUAAUGAGAGUCAUGAUGUUAUGAGUCGAAGUUUUGGUAAUGGAUCAACCAGUUUUACUCGGGUAUGUAACAACGAGAGCAGCCUGCGCUAAAAUCAGGUAUGGUUUAAUUAAAAUGCAUCUUUCGGAUGCACCGUCCUAGCUUUCUGGCAGAAGAUUGACCGCCGGUUCAGUCUCCUCCGUACAGCGGCAGUAGUAUUACAGCUUCUGGUGACAUAACGAUAUUUGUCUAAGAUAAACCUCUGAAACUGUCUUAAAUGGGACCCUAUAAGUGUAUAGAAGGACAUGCUCAAAAAAUUACUAAUACAAGUUGCAUAACUGUUAUUUAUUUUAUGUUAUCAAAUAACAUACAUAAGUCAUAAGUAUACUUCUGUGGAAUGACAAUUAUCAUUUACAGCAGCAUGGUAGAUCAUGUCUUAUUUAAGUUUUCAAGAUAGAUAGAUAGCCCUGUUACUUAUGAGAUCGAGAUAAAACUAUGAGUAAUGUAAUUAGUUAUGGAAAGACAGCUGCAUAUGACAUACUUAAUCAAUCACAAUGACAUUAAAAUUUUUGUUACAUGCAAAGAAAUCCCUCAAUUUUAAUAGGAUGUUCAUAAGACAUAUCACCCACAGGAUGAAAUGAUUUAGAAUAUAUAUACAGUUUGUAUAUUCAUUCACUUGAGGUAUUUUUUGUGAUUGUCUUUGAAUUUAGAGUUUUGGCUUCAGCCUGUUACGCAACAAAGCAAGAAUUAAACCGAACGCAAAACAUUAACUUUGUGUUGUUUACAAACUUGACAAAUGGCAGUAAGCAAUGUUUUUGUAUUUUUGUAAAGUUUCCCUUUAGGUGACAAAGCGAGGCUGAAGCAGUGGCUGGUGAACACAAGACGGCAGGACUGGAAACCAACAGGAUCAUCACGUCUUUGCAGUGCUCAUUUUGAAGAGCAUGCCUUUACUGUGGACUCAAAGGUUAAAUUAUUUCUUUUUUAAUGGACAGCAAUUUUUAUGAAGUUCACAUUUGCAACAAUUUAUUGUUAAAUUGACUAACACUUUGAAUCAUAAAAUGGCGGUUAUUUAAACAUUCCCAACAGCUGAACACUACAACUAUCGUGGUUCCAUUUUAAAUUACUGCUGUUUUUAUGUUUUUCUCUAGGGUAAGCGUUGCCUCAAGAUGACAGCUGUUCCAACUGUGUUUCCAGAUCACCAGGUAAGGUCCUCUGUGUUAGGUGUGAAACGUAGGAUUUUGGGAGGUAGUGACACAGAGGUAAGGCAGCCGUCACUUAAAUCAGCCAAGGUUUCUCAGGUCAGCAUACAAGAGUCACACGUAGACCAAGGCAACAUUAGCUUUCCAUCUGCUGCCGAAUUACAGCAAUGCCACUUUGACUGAAAAUGCAAAUGGGAAUGACCCAUUAAGCAUUGACAUCUGUCAGGCUGACACUGCUGUAACAGUGAAUGCAUUUAGGGAAGACCACAGUUAUUCAGCAUCAGCACCAAUGAAUGCAGCACUUGUCCCCAUUGGAGAGGAUCACAGCUACCAUCUGAAGUCUCCUAAAACUCUGAAAAAGAAAAGUCAGGCCACUGAAAAGAUUGUGGUUAGGGUGUGUCGUGGUGAGUGGGCUUUCAACUAAGAUGGGCCUUCUGUGUUACAUGUAUUAAAGCCACAUCAGAAACAAGAUCAGAACAAAAGUAUUUUAACAGUAAGGAAAUAGAUUGUGAAGUCAAGACAGAAAUGAGAAAAGAGUGAGAUUAAAAUGGCAUUAAAUUUAGGUAUUUGCAUGUAGUUGUAGUGUCUGCUACCAUCUACUGGUCAUUAUUAGUUAGUGUCAUCAGUCAUUUUCAGUUUAAGUUGGCGCAGCCUGGAGUGAAAAAAACAGGAAUCAUGUUGCAAAAAAAAUUUGAGUGAUACCACAUGAACAACUUCUUAUGCUUAGACCAAAUGUGCCCUGUUAGAUAAAGGUAACAGCACUAGCCAAGUAGUAGUCUCUAAGAAUGCUAACUAAAUGAAACAUUUUAAAUAAUUGGACAAGUAUAUCAAAACCUCUAAAGUUUUCAUGCUGAGCUACCACCUGGUUUGAGACACAAGUGUCUUAAUGAAUUUAAGUACUGGUAUUCACAAUUUAAUUGAUGAAUUUUAUUUGUGUUUUUCAGACUUCAUCACCAACCACUGAUGAUAUGGUGGAUUCAUCUGCUGCAGCCUGUUUCCUUUCCACCCAAUGCAACUCCCAAAGUACUAGAUUAUAUCUUUUUAAGUUCCUGGUAAAAUAACAAACAUACAGGUUUUCUGCAAAGGAGUUAAGUAUUUAUAAAUCACAAAUAAAUACUAAAAUGCUAGUGUCCUCUCACAAGUGUCCAUGUCAUGCUAUCUGAUUUACAUUAAUUACAUGCUGUUUACUACACAUAUUGUCAGUUUGUUUUUUCAGUUUUACCACACUUUGUCCACUUCAUGGUGAGGACUCGCACACAGAAAGAUGGAAAAGACAAAUGUCUUGAAAAGUUGGAUCCAUUUUAUUGCUAGGAAUAAAAUGGAUCCAACUUUUUUUGAGACAUUUGUCUUUUCCAUCUUUCUGUGUGUGAGUCCUUUACAGCCUUUUUGAAUUGUCUUAUCUGACCAUUGCACCAGAAGCAAGAAUACUAGGACUGAUGUUAAGCUCUUUUCUUGUUAAUCACUUGAUGAUGAGUACAUAAGAAAUGCAUUGACUUUGUUGUGGUAUGUUUUUUUCUUUUGAUAGCUUUACAUGAAAAAUAAAAUUUUGAGACAAAUACUCUGGAAUAAUAAAGCA
rnacentral:lncRNA from 1 species